CGCUGUCUUGUUGUAGGGGAGUGAAGUGCUGUUUCGCGGCAUGUCGGCUCCUCGGGCAUUUUCCCAUUUGGGCAGCUUACCUCCUCGAAUCCCUCUCCAGCCCCCUUCGGCUGACAAGAGGCGGCGGACGGGAGAGGCGGCCUCCGCCGGGCCAGCUGCGGUGAUUAAGGGCUGUUAACCGGCCCGGGGCGCCAGGUCCACACCUGCUCCUUAUAUCCGGGCUUCUCUGGCUUAGUUUGUUCCGAGCUCUCCAGGGAAGAUCCACGCUUUCCUCCGCUCUGUCGGGUAAGGAGUACAGCUGCUCUGAGACUUCCACAUCAUGAGAAGAGAUGCUCAGGCCGUGAAGGGCUACCCUGGACAAUAAGAUGCUUCAUAGAGAGAAAGACCAAAGAAGCUAAAUAUCCCGUUUCAUGGUGAAGUAGCCACUUUUCAGUGGCACCUGCAUCCCUAAUGACCCCUUCCAGCUGAUGCGAUGUAAGUCAGGGACAAAUGACCUAGAUGAGUUCUUCUAAAAUUCCUUUCUCUCAAGUUUAUGAAGAAAAUAAAGUGAUCAUUUUGA